GACGAACGCUGGCGGCGUGCCUAAUACAUGCAAGUAGAACGCACAGUUUAUACCGUAGCUUGCUACACCAUAGACUGUGAGUUGCGAACGGGUGAGUAACGCGUAGGUAACCUGCCUGGUAGCGGGGGAUAACUAUUGGAAACGAUAGCUAAUACCGCAUAAUAUUGAUUAUUGCAUGAUAAUUGAUUGAAAGAUGCUAUUGCAUCACUACCAGCUGGACCUGCGUUGUAUUAGCUAGUAGGUGAGGUAACGGCUCACCUAGGCGACGAUACAUAGCCGACCUGAGAGGGUGAUCGGCCACACUGGGACUGAGACACGGCCCAGACUCCUACGGGAGGCAGCAGUAGGGAAUCUUCGGAAAUGGACGAAAGUCUGACCGAGCAACGCCGCGUGAGUGAAGAAGGUUUUCGGAUCGUAAAGCUCUGUUGUAAGAGAAGAACGGGUGUGAGAGUGGAAAGUUCACACUGUGACGGUAUCUUACCAGAAAGGGACGGCUAACUACGUG
rnacentral:rRNA from 1 species